AUCUUUAGGGGGCCUGAGAGGGUGAUCCCCCACACUGGUACUGAGACACGGACCAGACUCCUACGGGAGGCAGCAGUGAGGAAUAUUGGACAAUGGGUUAGCGCCUGAUCCAGCCAUCCCGCGUGAAGGACGACGGCCCUAUGGGUUGUAAACUUCUUUUGUACAGGGAUAAACCUACUCUCGUGAGAGUAGCUGAAGGUACUGUACGAAUAAGCACCGGCUAACUCCGUGCCAGCAGCCGCGGUAAUACGGAGGGUGCAAGCGUUAUCCGGAUUUAUUGGGUUUAAAGGGUCCGUAGGCGGAUCUGUAAGUCAGUGGUGAAAUCUCACAGCUUAACUGUGAAACUGCCAUUGAUACUGCAGGUCUUGAGUAAGGUAGAAGUGGCUGGAAUAAGUAGUGUAGCGGUGAAAUGCAUAGAUAUUACUUAGAACACCAAUUGCGAAGGCAGGUCACUAUGUCUUAACUGACGCUGAUGGACGAAAGCGUGGGGAGCGAA
rnacentral:rRNA from 1 species